rnacentral:rRNA from 1 species
CGGACGGGUGAGUAACGCGUGAGAAUCUGCCUUCAGGUCGGGGAUAACAGCUGGAAACGGCUGCUAAUACCGGAUGAGCCGAGAGGUAAAAGCAAAAAGUGCCUGAAGAUGAGCUCGCGUCUGAUUAGCUAGUUGGUGGGGUAAGAGCCUACCAAGGCGACGAUCAGUAGCUGGUCUGAGAGGAUGAUCAGCCACACUGGGACUGAGACACGGCCCAGACUCCUACGGGAGGCAGCAGUGGGGAAUUUUCCGCAAUGGGCGCAAGCCUGACGGAGCAAUACCGCGUGAGGGAGGAAGGCCCUUGGGUUGUAAACCUCUUUUGUCAGGGAAGAAGGUCUGACGGUACCUGACGAAUCAGCAUCGGCUAACUCCGUGCCAGCAGCCGCGGUAAUACGGAGGAUGCAAGCGUUAUCCGGAUUUAUUGGGCGUAAAGGGUCCGCAGGUGGUUAUUCAAGUCUGCUGUCAAAGCGCGGAGCUUAACUCCGUACAGGCGGUGGAAACUGAGGAACUAGAGUCUGGUAGGGGUCGCGGGAAUUCCCAGUGUAGCGGUGAAAUGCGUAGAUAUUGGGAAGAACACCGGCGGCGAAAGCGCGCGACUGGACCGGAACUGACACUGAGGGACGAAAGCUAGGGGAGCGAAAGGGAUUAGAUACCCCUGUAGU